rnacentral:rRNA from 1 species
GACGAACGCUGGCGGCAUGCCUAACACAUGCAAGUCGAGCGAGCUGAUCUCUUCGGGGUGAAGCUAGCGGCGGACGGGUGAGUAAUGCCUAGGAAUCUGCCUGGUAGUGGGGGACAACGUUUCGAAAGGAACGCUAAUACCGCAUACGUCCUACGGGAGAAAGCAGGGGACCUUCGGGCCUUGCGCUCCAGGAGGGGCCUGCGUCCGAUUAGCUAGUUGGUGAGGUAAUGGCUCACCAAGGCGAUGAUCGGUAGCUGGUCUGAGAGGACGAUCAGCCACACUGGCACUGACACACGGGCCAGACUCCUACGGGGGGCAGCAGUGAGGAAUAUUGGUCAAUGGGCGAAAGCCUGAACCAGCAACGCCGCGUGAGGGAUGAAGGCCUUCGGGUCGUAAACCUCUUUUCUGGGAGAAGAGACAAGGACGGUAUCCCAGGAAUAAGUCUCGGCUAACUACGUGCCAGCAGCCGCGGUAACAC